GGGGUUGUGGCUCAGUUGUAGAGCACUCGUCUGUCUUGUGUGAGGCACUGGGUUCGAUCCUCAGCACCACA
rnacentral:tRNA from 1 species